rnacentral:rRNA from 1 species
UACGUAGGGUGCAAGCGUUUGUCCGGAAUUAUUGGGCGUAAAGAGCUCGUAGGCGGUUUGUCGCGUCUGCUGUGAAAACUCAGGGCUUAACUCUGAGCUUGCAGUGGGUACGGGCAGACUAGAGUGCGGUAGGGGAGACUGGAAUUCCUGGUGUAGCGGUGAAAUGCGCAGAUAUCAGGAGGAACACCGGUGGCGAAGGCGGGUCUCUGGGCCGUAACUGACGCUGGAGGAGCGAAAGCAUGGGGAGCGAACAGG